UUGGGAGACAUAAGCAAGAAUCUGAAAAUGAAACAUUGUAGCAAAUAGAAAUCAUAUAACAGUCUUGCAAUAGCUGCAGACUUCUAUGGGUGAUCUUCUCAUCUAAUAAAAUAGAUAAAAAAAAAUCAUGACAAGCCACCAUUAUAAGCUGUCCAAAUGCCUUUUCCAUCAAUUGUAUGGAUACAUAUGAUAAAAAAAAUUAUAAACCUCAUGUACCAAAAUGGAAGUGAGGUUAAGGUUGCUACCGUCAUUUGAAAACUCAUUAAAUUAAAUUUAAACUUAGGGAUAGGUCCUAUCCGAUAUCUUGCAAAUUACAGGACACACAUUAGAUUCACAUUAAAUGUUUGGAUAUUUUUUAGCAUUUAAAACCAAGACAUUAGGAGUAAAAACACAAGACCUCACAGAACAUGAUUUGACAAAACUAAUGCCUAAUAAGGAAAGCUUCAAAAACUAAAUUAUCAUGAGCUGCAAAUAUUAUAACAUUCAACAAUUCAAUAAAAUGUGGCAUAUGCAUAGAUUUAUUUAUUUAUUAUUAGUGAAUAUCAUUAUACUAUACUGCAAAGACAGAAAGUCUUGACAAUAUUCUUGUUACAUUAUCUCCAUAAACCACGGUCAUAUCCGUGCUUCAAGGACAAAGUAUCAAGUGCAGUAUACAAGAUUGAACUGCUAAAGAAAUUAGUAAAUAAACAAAUAAACAUACAAGUUAA
rnacentral:misc_RNA from 1 species